rnacentral:lncRNA from 1 species
CAGCUCCGCGCCGCGCGGACCCAACGAGCCCGCGCUCAGACUCCCCAGCUCCGCCGAGAGGACGCUCGCGCUGGGUCCUUCUUCUUCCCCAAGUGCAGGCAGAGCCCCCGGAGUCAUGGCCAGCCCUUCCGGCAGCUCCGAAGCCACUGGCAAGCCCUGAGGUAGGGAUGGCUGGCCCAGGAGGGAGGAGGACGACGUCCCUCCCGAAGAGAAGAGGCUGCGGCUGUUGCUGGAGGGGGGAAGCGCACAGCCCGAGGACUGCGAGGACGGGGAGGACGCGCCGCGGCCGGGCAGGGAGGAGACCGGCACCCAGACAGGUGGCGACGGCAAAGGAGCGGAAUUCUCCACGAGUUUUGAGCAGCCUCGGUUUUCCCACCCCCUCCAAAUCAUGGAAGAAACAGGGUAAGAGCAAAGACAAGGUGGCUGUGGCCUAUGUCUACCCUCUCGGGGCGUCCCUUGUCUUCUCUCCUCCUUGGGCAGGGAGACCAUCGGAGUGCAACCUGGCUGGGGCGGGGAGGAGGUGCAGGGCCUGGCCAGAGCGGGCCUGGCCACGGGCAAGGGACAGCGACCUCCUGGGCCAGGACAGGUGAGCGCGGCGCAGGCCCGGGCCCGGCGUGUCCGCGCUGCGCGGGAGAGGCCAGCAGAGGGCGCCAGAGAGCCAGGAGCGGCCCGCGGAGGAGCCCGCGCCCGCCCCGAUGCCCAGCUCCGCGCCUCGCGGACCCAGCAAGCUCGCGCUCAGACGCCCCAGCUCCGCCGAGAGGACGCUCGCCCCGGGUGCUUCUUUUUCCCCAAGUGCAGGCAGAGCCCCUGGAGCCAUGGCCAGCCCUUCCGGCAGCUCCGAAGCCACUGGCAAGCCCCGAGGCAGGGAUGGCCGGCCCAGGAGGGAGGAGGACGACGUCCCUCCUGAAGAGAAGAGGCUGCGGCUGUUGCUGGAGGGGGGAAGAGCACAGCCCGAGGACUGCGAGGACGGGGAGGACGCGCUGCGGCCGGGCAAGGAGGACACCGGCACCCAGACAGGUGGCGACGGCAGAGGAGCGGAAUUCUCCACGAGUUUUGAGCAGCCUCGGGUUUCCCACCACCUCCAAAUCAUGGAAGACACAGGGCAGAGCCCGCGGAGCCAUGGCCAGCCCUUCCAGCAGCUCCGAAGCCACUGGCAAGCCGCGAGGCAGGGAUGGCAGUCCCAGGAUGGGGGAGGAGGACGUCCCUCCCGAAGAGAAGAGGCUGGGGCUGUAGCUGGAGGGGGGAAGCGCACAGCCCGAGGACUGCGAGGACGGGGAGGACCCGCCGCUACCGGGCAGGAAGGAGACCGGCACCCAGACAGGUGGCGACGGCAAAGGAGCGGAAUUCUCCACGAGUUUUGAGCAGCCUCGGGUUUCCCACCACCUCCAAAUCAUGGAAGACACACGGUGCAGGCAGAGCCCCCCAGCCGUGGCCAGCCCUUCCGGCAGCUCCGAAGCCACUGGCAAGCCCCGAGGCAGGGAUGGCCGGCCCAGGAGGGAGGAGGACGACGUCCCUCCCGAAGAGAAGAGGCUGCGGCUGUAGCUGGAGGGGGGAAGCGCAGAACCCGAGGACUGCGAGGACGGGGAGGACGCGCCGCGGCCAGGCAGGGAGGAGACCGGCACCCAGACAGGUGGCGAAGGCAGAGGAGUCUGUUCUUCCCCUGGAUUGUAAACUCCUUGAUGUCUGGGUCAUCUCAGCUCAUGAGCUGAGCUUUCAGUGGGUGCUCAGUGGAACAGGUGCUGAAUGGAGUCCGGCUCUAGGGAGGCCAGGGUGUGUUGGAAGGAAAAUACAUGUACAGCCAACUUCCUUGAGGGUUCGUUCUUUUGCAUCAGGGUGUCUCAAACUGAUGCCCUUAAAACACCUGUAAGAGAAUCAUCCAGGCGGCUUGCUUGCUCUGCAUGCAGGCCCUUUAGAAUCAGACUCAGAAUCCCUGGGGCUGGAGCCACAAAAUGAAAUGACAUUUCAACGAGUUUGUCAUCAUGUGAGAGAGAAUAGGCACAGAGAAGUUGCCCAUGACUCUGUGAUCCGUUUUGUCCAAUGAACCAUGAGCAGCAGCAACUUGAGUCACCUCCAGGUGGAAGUGUUAAGAGGUUGCUCUAUGAUCCACCACAUUCCCUUUGCCCUGAAGUGGAGAUCAAGGACACAUGCAGAGAUGGGGCUUUUGUCAGCCUGGAUCCCUGAGUGAACACAAUGAACAGACCACCCCAGAAUGCCCUAACACAGCCCAGACAUGCAACGUGACCAAGAAUAAGCCUCACUGUGGCCAGGCAUGGUGGCUCAUGCCUGUCAUCCCAGCACUUUGGGAGGCCAAGGUGGGUGGAUCAUUUGAGGUCAGGAGUUCAAGACCAACCUGGCUAACAGGGUGAAAUCCUGUCUCUACUAAGUACAAAGAUUAGCCAGACAGUGGUGGCAUGGGCCUGUAAUCCCAGCUACUCAGGAGGCAGGAGAAUCACUUGAGUCUGGGAGGCAGAGGUUGCAGUGAGCUGAGAUUGCACCACUGCACUCUAGUCUGGGUGACAGAGUGAGACCCUGUCUCAAAAACAAACAAACAAAUACCUCACUGCAUGAGGCCACUGAGAUUUGGGGUUUGUUGUUACUGCACCAGAACCCAAAUCAUCCUGACCGCUAGGGUGUCCUAACUAGGGUUUCUUACCAAAAGCAAAGGCAUUUUUAAAGUUCGUGACAUUUAAACAAAAGAGCAAAUACCAAUAUCUACCACUUUGUCAGGCUAAAAAACCCAAACAAAGCCAACAGCCAGAAGUUAAAAUAAACAGAUCAUUAGGUUGAAAAUAGAACUGUCAAAACAGGCACAAUUGACUUCAUUUAGUGAUUGCAAAGAACAUCAGGCAAGACACAGGUAUGCUCAUCAUAACAUUUAUCACAUGCUUCAUUGCACAUGUUUGACUAAGAAAAACAAAGUAUUUAAGCUCAUCUGUAGCUCAAAGUGCCUAUCCGUGUAUUUAUCUAUUCAUCCUGAUUUAUUUAUUGAGCAACUCUUUUGUGCCAGGCACUGUGCUGUGUUGCGGGAAGUCAGGGACCCCAAAUGGAGGGACCAGCUGAAGCCAUGACAGAAGAACGUGGAUUAUGAAGAUUUUAUGGACAUUUAUUAGUUCCCCAAAUUAAUACUUUUUUAAUUUCUUAUGCCUGUCUUUACUGCAAUCUCUAAACAUAAAUUGUGAAGAUUUCAUGGACACUUAUCACUUCCCCAAUCAAUACCCUUGUGAUUUCCUAUGCCUAUCAUUACUUUAAUCUCUUAAUCCUGUCAGUCGAGAAGGAUGUAUAUCGUCUCAGGACCUGUAAUAAUUGCGUUAAGUACAUAAAUUGUACAUCAUGUGUGUUUGAGCAAUAUGAAAUGUGGGCACCCUGAAAAAAGAACAGGAUAACAGCAAUUGUUCAGGGAAUUAGAGAGAUAACCUUAAACUCUGACCGCUGGUGAGCCAGGCAGAACAGAACCAUAUUUCUCUUCUUUCAAAAGCAAAUGGGAGAAAUAUCGCUGAAUUCCUUUUCUCAGCAUGGAACGUCCCUGAGAAAGAGAAUGCGCACCUAGGGGUAGGUCUCUGAACUGGCCCCCCGGGGCGUACCUGUCUCUUAUGGUCGAGAUUGCAGAGGUGAAAUAAACUCCAGUCUCCCAUAGCACUCCCAGGCUUAUUAGGAAGAGAAAAUUCCCGCCUAAUAAACUUUGGUCAGACGGGUUGAUCUCAAAACCCUGUCUCCUCAUAAGAUGUUAUCAAUGACAAUGGUGCCAAAACUUCAUUAGCAAUUUUAAUUUCACUUCCGUCCUGUGGUCUGGCCCUGUCUCCACUUGCCUUGUGAUAUUCUAUUACCCUGUUAAGUACUUGAUGUCUGUCACCCACACCUAUUCAUAUACUCCCUCCCCUUUUGAAACUCCCUAAUAAAAACUUGCUGGUUUUUGUGGCUUGUGGGACAUCACGGAUCCUACCAAUGUGUGAUGUCUCCCCCAGAUGCCCAGCUUUACAAUUUC